UACGUAGGGGGCAAGCGUUGUCCGGAUUUACUGGGCGUAAAGAGCGUGUAGGCGGCCACGCAGGUCCGUUGUGAAAACUGGAGGCUCAACCUCCAGACGUCGACGGAAACCGUAUGGCUAGAGUCCGGAAGAGGAGAGUGGAAUUCCUGGUGUAGCGGUGAAAUGCGCAGAUAUCAGGAAGAACACCAACGGCGAAGGCAGCUCGCUAGGACGGUACUGACGCUGAGACGCGAAAGCGUGGGGAGCGAACAGG
rnacentral:rRNA from 1 species